CCCUUAGAUGUCCUGGGCCGCACGCGUGCUACACUGAUGCAUACAGCGAGUACUCCCAGCUCCGAGAGGCUGCUGGUAAUCAGCAAUAUGCAUCGUGAUGGGGAUAGAUCUUUGGAAUUAUAGAUCUUGAACGAGGAAUUCCUAGUAAUCGCAGGUCAUCACCCUGCGUUGACUAAGUCCCUGCCCUUUGUACACACCGCCCGUCGCUCCUACCGAUUUCGAGUGAUCCGGUGAAUCAUUCGGGCCGCGGCCCCUAGGCAUGCGGAAAGUCUAGUAAACCAUAUCACUUAGAGGAAGGAGAAGUCGUAACA
rnacentral:rRNA from 1 species